AGCAAGGUAAGCUAAAAUUAAGCUAUUGGGCCCAUACCCCAAAGAUAAAUGUAAAUUUCCUUGCUG
rnacentral:tRNA from 1 species